UUUCAUGAGAGUUUGAUCCUGGCUCAGGACGAACGCUGGCGGCGUGCCUAAUACAUGCAAGUCGAACGAACGGAGACGAAAGCUUGCUUUCGUCGAAGUGAGUGGCGCACGGGUGAG
rnacentral:rRNA from 1 species